AUCAGGGCUUUUUUUUUUUUUCCAGACAGCCAAUUUACCAGCACACCACUGUCAGCUUCCUGAGACCUCACCAGAAGCUGAGCAGAUGCUAGUACCAUGCUUCUUGUACAGCCUACAGAACUGUGCUGUUACUGUUGGCCCAAGAACACAUUUUGAGAAGACUGGCCUAGAGGAACCAAUAAUGUGGGUUUCUUAUGGGCAGGAUGGCACUGGAGAAGAGGGUGAGGCUCAGUGUCUUCUCCCAAAUUUUCAUAUCAAAUAAAACCUCUUUCCCCGGAGAGAAGUAACAAGAGAGGCAGAGGGAAAUGAUUCUAACAGAAGUUCUAGCCACAUGGAAGGAAGCAUUAGCAGUGAGGAAUAACUGUUCUCUCCCUAAACAUACCACCCAAGGGAAACUAACACUAAAUUAGCAUGAAGAGCAUACGCCUGUGAUCUCAGCUAUUCGGGAUGCAGAGGCAGGAGGAUCACAUGAGCUCAGAAGCUCAAGCCCAGCCUGGGCAACGUAGAAAGACACAGACUAAAAAAGAAAAAAAGGGAAGAAAAAAAAAGACGGAAAAAAAUUAGCAUGAACAAUUCAAGGGAGACAAGAGAACUGAGCCACCUUCCUAGCCAAGAAAAACCCCAGCUUGCAAUUUACUGAAUAGAAGUGUGCCACUUGACAGAGUAGUUUUAAUGACACUGAACCUUUUGUGAGUCUUGCACUUCUCUUGGCUGAAAUCUUCAAACUGGCUCAAAGAAGCUCCAGUCUCUUCAUUCUGCAGAACAGGCAGGUGGGAUUGGUGAAAACGAAGAAGCCAGGAGUGGGAGAGCCAUGCCGCUUUUU
rnacentral:lncRNA from 1 species